GACGAACGCUGGCGGCGUGCCUAAUACAUGCAAGUCGAACGCAGGGGGGACGGGUGAGUAACACGUGGGUAACCUCCCAUCAGAGGGGAUAAAACUUGGCAACAGGUGCUAAACCGAUAAUGUUGGAUGGACCCGCGGUGCAUUAGCUAGUUGGUGAGGUAACGGCUCACCAAGGCCACGUGGCAUAGCGGACCGGAGAGGGUGAUCGGCCACACUGGAACUGAGACACGGCCCAGACUCCUACGGGAGGCAGCAGUGGGGAAUCGUCGACAAUGGACGAAAGGCUGACCGAGCAACGCCGCGUGAGUGAAGAAGGUUUUCGGAUCGUAAAACUCUGUUGUUAGAGAAGCGGUAUCUACCCAGUAAGCCACGGCUAACUACGUGCCAGCAGCCGCGGUAAUUC
rnacentral:rRNA from 1 species